AUUGAACGCUGGCGGCACGCCUAACACAUGCAAGUCGAGCGGCAGCGAGACUAGUAGCAAUACUAGUUGUCGGCGAGCGGCGGACGGGUGAGUAACACGUAGGAAUCUGCCCUUAAGCGGGGGAUAACCAAGGGAAACUUUGGCUAAUACCGCAUAAUCUCGAGAGAGCAAAGCUGCCCGCAAGGGUGGCACUUGAGGAGGAGCCUGCGUCCGAUUAGCUAGUUGGUGGGGUAAUGGCCUACCAAGGCGAUGAUCGGUAACUGGUCUGAGAGGACGACCAGUCACACUGGGACUGAGACACGGACCAGACUCCUACGGGAGGCAGCAGUGGGGAAUAUUGGACAAUGGGGGCAACCCUGAUCCAGCGAUGCCGCGUGAGUGAAGAAGGCCUUCGGGUCGUAAAGCUCUUUAGGUUGGGAAGAAGGGUAUUGGCUGAAUAAUCCAGUACUUUGACGGUACCGACAGAAUAAGCACCGGCAAACUCUGUGCCAGCCGCCGCGGUAACAC
rnacentral:rRNA from 1 species